rnacentral:rRNA from 1 species
GACGAACGCUGGCGGCGUGCUUAACACAUGCAGGUCGAACGAAGAGCGAUGGAAGCUUGCUUCUAUCAAUCUUAGUGGCGAACGGGUGAGUAACGCGUAAUCAACCUGCCCUUCAGAGGGGGACAACAGUUGGAAACGACUGCUAAUACCGCAUACGAUCUAAUCUCGGCAUCGAGGAUAGAUGAAAGGUGGCCUCUACAUGUAAGCUAUCACUGAAGGAGGGGAUUGCGUCUGAUUAGCUAGUUGGAGGGGUAACGGCCCACCAAGGCGAUGAUCAGUAGCCGGUCUGAGAGGAUGAACGGCCACAUUGGGACUGAGACACGGCCCAGACUCCUACGGGAGGCAGCAGUGGGGAAUCUUCCGCAAUGGACGAAAGUCUGACGGAGCAACGCCGCGUGAGUGAUGACGGCCUUCGGGUUGUAAAGCUCUGUUAAUCGGGACGAAAGGCCUUCUUGCGAAUAGUGAGAAGGAUUGACGGUACCGGAAGAGAAAGCCACGGCUAACUACGUG